rfam:Rhizobium sp. Leaf306 contig_1, whole genome shotgun sequence.
UACCGGCGAUUGAUCACGCCGCAGUCUGGCACCCGGCUUGCCCCCUGCCGCGUCAGACCGGACAAAGGCUCAACCCCCUCUCCGGGCCUUUGUUCUUCUAUCAUGCCGCCACGACCGCUCCCCUCCCGGUCGUGGCGGUUUUUG